ensembl:lncRNA
GCUAUUUUCUCUAUAUUCUCACUCCACUUUAUGUCCAUCUUUUCUCCUCGGGGGAGCCGAUGUCUCAACAGAGACGGACGAGACAGAGAGAGACGCCACACAAAUCUCAGGAGGUAAAGCCGUGAAGGUUAAACAAGAUGAACAGGCGGGGCGGUGCUUCCUGUUAAACGGGGCCAGAGGUUGGCAAGAAUUCAUGGAAAUACACUGCAAACGUGGCGUCGUAGCUCAACGCGGUAAAGCAAAGCUACUGAACAAUUCGGACAGCGGGCGCAGGCGUGGGCCCGGGGCCGCCCUUCUGAGCAUUGAUGACUGCCAGCCAGCGCGGUGAUAUGUGGGCCCUCCAAGCUCCGGUAGCCCCACCGCACCACACCACACCACACCCUGGGGUGCAACAAAUAUCAGCAUUGUAAUUUCACGCCUGUGAUUAUUAUCGCGAGCUCUAUCUCUGACUGGGAAUCCUCCACCC